UAUGGUUAUUAGCAGACUAUCUCCAUCAGAGUCAGAUAAAGCAAAAACAGCUGCCCUCGCAAUUGCAAGCUCAGAUACGCAGCUACAGAGAGCUAACUGACUGCUGCAGCACAUCCCUCGUAUUUGCACCUCUGCCAGGCUGGACAUGGGCCAAGCACCUCUCCCGUGCACAAUGGCAGCAGACAAUGUGCUUUGAAUUUUCUCUGCACGCAAAGAGCAAUCGCAUGGGAAAAACAUGUAUAGACCAACACCGUCACAGUUCCUAAAAAAGCAAGCGAUUUUGCCCUGCAACAGAGAAAUGCAUUUGCCCCCUACAGUGACCUACUCUUUACCUCAAGGGUGAGUCAAAUUGAGGACAAAACAAACAGGACUGCAAUAAAUAUUUUUUUUUCUUGGACAAGGGCUACAAUAUGGAAGGUUGAAAGAGUCUUUUCUUUGUGAUGGCUUAACAUGUGUGACCACAACUUUCAUGUAGGAAAAAACUACUUGCAGAAAGGCUGUAUUCACUAUUUAGAAGCAGGCAGAGAGUUAGCCUACCUCGGUGCUGGUAACUCAGGAGCCUGAAAUGUAUCAGACAGCCUGCAAACCAAAGCCUGCUUUUCAGCACCAGAACAAUAUGGCAGGGGAAGUGGCAAGAUGAGCUUUGCUCCUUCACCACUUCCUGCUCAUGUAACUCAGAUGCACCCCAGCAGUGUGGGAAUCCACAAGACAGAGAGUCGAACAGACUUGAUUAGCAUAGUUGGUUUGAUAACCAAGAUGCCAUGGCAGGAACAAACAGAGCUUUGAAGAUUACAGAAGAUGGGAUUAAACCUGCUUACAGGAAAAGAGAAGAUUCAAUCAACUUCUGCAAGCAAAGAGUUGUUGUAAACACAUGAGUUGUCUGUGUGAUUUUUAACCUGAUUAUUGUAGUAGAAAUUAUUAACCUGUCUGAAAUAGUAUAUAAGCUUUUGAGAAACCUGAGUAAAAUCACCAAAUCAGUCUUCCCAUCUCUCAAUCAAUCGCCAAUAAUUGGUGCCCCAUGUGAGGAGAGAAGAACCGGCUAUCUACUGGCAACUGGCGACGCCCCUGGAACUGGAUCAUGACACUGAGAGAACCGUGUUUGGGCCCACAAUUGCCUGUAUGCUGCGACGUGACAGGUGAGCCAGGGAAACUCAAAGUAUGGGACAGGACGUGUCCAACGAGAGAGAUGUUAACAAAAUCACGCUAGCCUUUCUGAGCAGGCAUGAAUCCUCUAUCCUAAAGCAUGAUUUUAAGUCACUUCCAUGCAUGUUUCCUGAUAUUUUUACUCUCCGCUACUGAGACAAGGUCAGUGUAAAGCUCUACAACCUGGAUACACUGCCUGUCCACGAGCCUACGCUUGCUUCCUGCAUGGAGGGCGGUCAUGGAUGCGAUUAAAAAAGAGGGAGGGAGUGAAGCAGCCUGUGAGGCCACCGCAGAGACGGCCCCGGCGGCCAUACUAGACCAAAACCUGCCCAGGUUCUGCUCCCCGUGCCCCAUCUGCACCCUGUCCCUGACGAACGCCAGGGAUAGAGCCCAGCUGCCACUUGCAGCCCUACCGGUAUCCCACCAGCGACCUCAGAGCUGCCGAACUCUAAUUGCUUAUGGGGACUCUGACUCUAGCAGUGACGGGGAGUCUUUCGACCCCAGCCCCAAAAAAGAUCCAGAUUAUUCCCUUCAAAUAUGCAUAACAAUUGGUUACAGAUAAAAAAGAAAGCCCUUAAAGACAGAGAUUUUGCCUUUAUUUUGCUAACCAAUGCCGCUUCAGGUUUCAUCAAAACAAUCAGCUUUUACAGAGAAGCAUCUCACAGCACGGGACAGCAACGAGUGCAGACACAAAUCCUACAGCAGACGCAGCAGCUGACACAGUAACCAGGAGCAACCUUCAGCUUCCAACCGGCCCAGUCCCCAUCCACCGGACCGUCUCUGACCUACGUACAGCCACCCCAAGAAGUUAGUAACGCUGUCUAAUUGCUCAGUUUUUGUCUCCCUACAGGAAAUCUACAGACUCUUAGUACCCAGUUAUGAUGCCUUGCUUACAGGUAGAUCAUCUGCCUCGGUAACACAACUGUUUGUUUUACCAGCAAUCAUUGACUCUGACACAGCUACAGAGAUAGAGAUCAUGGCUUAGACCCCCCAGCCGCCCUGUGUAGUACCGGCUGGGGGCAUUAUCGCCCAACUCGUACCUUUCCCAGCAGCACCCUUAUCCAUACCUCCGACAGCUGAACAGAGAGAAAGCUGGUUUAGUUCAACAGAGGCCCCAAAAAUUUUCUGAACACAAAGUAUUACAUCUCAGCAUCCCACAUGCUAAUACAAAGUGACUCUAAAAAGCAAAGAUUUAAUUUUAACAGGAGUCAUUGAUACAGGCGCAGAUAUUAGUCAUCUCCUAAAACCAAUGGCCUAAUGAUUGGCCAUUAGUGACUGUCCCCCAGGUCCUUUCAGGGGUGGGUAGAAACAGUCAAAGCUAUCAGAGCCAACACUUGGUACAAAUUACAGGGCCUGAGGGGAGGGUAGCUACUGUCAAGCCUUUUGUGCUGUCUUCGCUGCAAGUUUUGUGAGAGAAAGGUGUUCUUUCUCAGUAGAGAAUUUUUAUGCAGUAGAAUUUUGUAUAAAGGUCAUUGAAACGUGCGACUUUAACCUAGAAAGCAAAAAAACCAGUUUGAUAAAUUAAUGUCUCUUAAGCUCUUAACAGGAAAGGGGGAGCCAAGGAUGGCACCCCCGCUGAGAAGACUGCAGAAAGCUCUUUUAUGUUUUCAAUUUUUUAAAUUGUUCUUGAUGGACUCUAAACAAAUGGGUAUAGUCUUUGAGUGAGAACUAAAUGCAGGACUGUUUCUCUCUUCUCUUGUUUAGUUUGUUAUCAAACCUAGGUUGAAUGCACAUGUGUUAGAUGUGAGAUACUGUAAUACAGUGCAUCUCAUAAAAGAUGAGGUAUUUGCUGUCAAUGUGAUCCAUCAAGAUGCAUCAGAAAUAAUGCAAAAAUUCAACGAUUAAUCUGUGUAUAUGUUUGAUCCACCUGGACAAUUAGAGCAUAGUGGCUUACUGCCACUGAGAAUAAGGAUAUAUCAUGAUAUUUACUGAGAAUUGUUUCUAGUGCUCAAACAUAGCCUGUUAAACUUACAUGCUUUUGACAAAGACUGUGAUAACCAGUUUGAUUUUUAGUUCAAAGGAGAUCCCCAUAGAAAUAUCUAGACUGGUGCAUAAGAAUGCAUUCUAUUUUGGCAUAACCUUUGCAAAUUUUUACUGAAAUCAAAACUUUACAUGAUUCGCAAAAAAAAUUUUGGGGGCAAGCUCCCUAUUAGAAAUCCCAAAUGCAGAACUAAGUCUUUUGUUUGGACUGCUAAAGAGAGAUUCAAACCUUUUAUGACCUAAACAACUUAAUUUACAAGUCCAACAUGCACUGCAGAGCUUGGUAAACCAGCAAGCUGCACACUAGGCACCUAAACUCCCUCUUCCUUUUAAUAAUUUUGCAUCUAGCAAAACAGCCCCACGCUUUGAUAUUUCUGUGAGACUCCAAAGCAUCAGACUCUGUGCUUAUCAUUGAUUUUUUUACCUCACCAAGUGACCAAAACCAUCAGUACCCAACAUGAAAUGAUAGCCCAACUAGUUCUUAAAGCCUGACAGAGACUAACUUCUCUUGCAAGAGUGAAAUUUUCCAUUGUUUUGCUGCUUCUUAUCACCUUUAUUUGAAUUAGAUAUUUCAAGAAUCUAAAGCUAUUCAAAUAGCCUUUGCUGAAUUCAGCAGACAAAUCUCAAUACAUACUCCAAAACAUUAGCUUUUAACAACUUUAUUUCAAUUAACAGAAAAAUACAAGAGAAGUUCCACUUCAAGCCUUAACAGUAUUCACAGAUGGUUCUAGUUGCUCUCAUAAAUCAGUAACAGUACAAAGAGACUCUUUUUCUAGCACCUAAAGAUCAGAUGUAUCCACAUUGGAAAAAUCCUCUCAAAUUAUUGAACUUGCUACUGUUGUCAGAGCUUUUCAAAAUUUUUCUGUUCCUUUUAAUCUAGUAACAGAUUCAGGUUAUGUUGCAAGAAUCAUGAAGCCUGAGCCCUGAAAGAAGGUGUAAAAAACCUGCAAACAGAUCAUAGAUUUGAAUAGUUGAAUAAACUCCUAAGAAGCCAGAGACUCCAUAGAUUAGAAAUUUAGUUAAAAUAAGCUUAUAUGUAUUAGGCAUUAUAUUAUGUAUUGUUAUAAUUAUUCCUUAUAUUUUACAGUGUGUUUAACCUAAAGGUAGAAUCUGGAUCUUGACUCAACAACCUAUUUAGUGGCUCAGAUUUGACACCUUGGCUAAAAGAUUUUCUUAGGAUAGGAAUGCAUGUAAUGAUUUUAAUAAUAAUUGUAUUAGUUAUGAUACUUUGCUUGCUUCAAUGAGUACAGAGAUUAAUUAAUAAGGCCAUCAAGGGAGUAUUUUUGGUUGAUACGGGAGGAGGAGAUGUGGGAAUCCACAAGACAGAGGGUCGAACAGACUUGAUUAGCAUAGUUGGUUUGAUAACCAAGAUGCCAUGGCAGGAACAAACAGAGCUUUGAAGAUUACAGAAGAUGGGAUUAAACCUGCUUACAGGAAAAGAGAAGAUUCAAUCAACUUCUGCAAGCAAAGAGUUGUUGUAAACACAUGAGUUGUCUGUGUGAUUUUUAACCUGAUUAUUGUAGUAGAAAUUAUUAACCUGUCUGAAAUAGUAUAUAAGCUUUUGAGAAACCUGAGUAAAAUCAAAUUCUGA